GUGAGGAAUAUUGGUCAAUGGGCGGAAGCCUGAACCAGCCAAGUAGCGUGCAGGAUGACGGCCCUACGGGUUGUAAACUGCUUUUAUACGGGAAUAACGCGCCUUACGUGUAGGGCUUUGCAUGUACCGUAUGAAUAAGGACCGGCUAAUUCCGUGCCAGCAGCCGCGGUAAUACGGAAGGUCCGGGCGUUAUCCGGAUUUAUUGGGUUUAAAGGGAGCGUAGGCCGCAUGUCAAGCGUGCUGUGAAAUGUCCGGGCUCAACCCGGGCCUUGCAGCGCGAACUGGCGUGCUUGAGUCCGCGGAAAGCAGGCGGAAUUCGUCGUGUAGCGGUGAAAUGCUUAGAUAUGACGAAGAACCCCGAUUGCGAAGGCAGCUUGCUGCAGCGGAACUGACGCUGAUGCUCGAAAGCGCGGGUAUCGAACAGGAUUAGAUACCCUAGUAGUCC
rnacentral:rRNA from 1 species